rnacentral:rRNA from 1 species
CACAAGCCGUGAUAAUUGUGAGCGGAGCGAGCAAUUAUAUUGUAAAGAAUACGGCGCGGAGUCGUAAAAUACGGCGCGGAGUCGUAAAAUACGGCAUAGAGCCGUAGGGAUACGGCGAAAGACACUUGUGUCUAGUGAUGUGGGAGGGAGCUGUCGAAGGUGGAGCCGAUGACUGGGGUGAAGUCGUAACAAGGUAUC